rnacentral:misc_RNA from 1 species
UUUAACAGUAAUGCCAAACAGGCCCUAACUAUGUACACAAAUACAGGAAAAACACCAAAAAAAAAAGAAUUAAGUGAUUAAAUGAAAAUGGAAUUAAAAUUAAAGUUGAGUCAAGAACAUCCAAGCUCAUCCUUGCUACAAACUCACUAUAGGAGUACCUUCAUAGCAAACAUACAUUAUUUGUCCCACUAAGGUCACUAUAAACGUGUGAGAUAGAUAACUAAUACUUGGAUUUGAAAUCUGACCCCUAUGAGGCUUAGGAGCAUUAUUUAUAAAACUGAAUAUCCCACUAAGCUUUUUGCAGGCAAGUUUAAGCAUUUAACUUUUACUAAAUGCUUUGACAGCAGAGAGAAUAUCCAUGGAUAAUCUAGAAGGAAGUAAAUUGUAUACCCCAAGAAUUUCAUUAAUACUUGCCUUCGGUCCAGAUUAUAUGUCAAAUAUCAGGCAAAAAUCAUAAACACAAACUUGAUAGCCAUGAGAUAGAACGUGACAGGCGACCUUACAAGAAUGAUUUUAAUAAUAUGAAAUGCAGCUUAGUGAGCUCUAAAAUAAGGGAGAUGAACCAGGAAAAAUUGGAAGAGACACUCAAUAUAGGCAAUCUGCAAGAAGGGGAAGAUCAAUAGAUACUUUCUUUUUGAGAAAUCAGCUGAAUCCCUAGCACACUAUCAAUGCGUUUUUUUUUUGGACUAGCCAAUUGAGAGAAUUGACACAUUAAGUAACCAAAACCUUUUGAGCUGCAGUAGGAAUGGUUGUGUGGUUCAUGGGCUUGGAAGGAUACAUGCUCUUCCGAAACG